rnacentral:lncRNA from 13 species
CCAGAAGCCAGUCCACGAGCGCUCUAAAGAAGUACACCACUCCUGAUCCACCUGCUGCCUUGGAAAAUUCUUCUAGAGUGACUCCAGCUGUUUGUUGUACAAGUCUGGAAGAGUGGGCUGGGAAGGAGGGUCGUGAAGGAAAUGAAAGCCCAGGAUGGAAUGAAGAGCACAUGGCGCCUUCAUAGACCAGACAUGAGCUCAGCAGCCCUAGCCCAUCCCACGGUCAGGCUCUCACCCUGUGACACUGAAAUGGACUGCAAACAAUGGUGCUGGCGGAGUUCCAGGCUUCUGGACACUGCUUCUUAACAUGAAAAGGAGGCCGGAGAUACAAGACCCUGAAGGGAAAGAAUCCCCGCUUGAAGUGCAGAGAACCGGUUCCAUGCUCAGGACUGCCAGCUGCUGCGGGACACCUCCAGUGUUUAAUUCUCUUUCUCUGUUGAUAUGUUUGCAGAUCCCAAAAGGUGAUCCCUUGGUUACACUUACAUCCCCAGCUACUUGCCUUUUGUCCUGCUCUGUCGUUUUCUUGCUCAAGUCCUCAAACCUGUGUUUGAAGUCACCACUCUUUCACCCAUUUAUUCCCUUCUUCAACCCCUGAAAUGCCUACCUCCACUUCUGGACAGCACCUGCACUUUCUAAAGCUUCUCUGAUCUCCUUCUCUCUCCUCUUGAUCCUCCUCCCCUCUCUCUCUCACUUCCCCCAGCUUUCUCCCCUCUAUUCUCUACCUGCUCUCUCUCCCCAAUUCAAAUUCAAUGGUUUGAUUGACAUCUCAUUCUUUCCAGCCCAUCUUUGAUUUUGGACUUUUUAUUUUUAGAGUUUCGUUCUUGUUGGCCAGGCUGGAGUACAGUGGCAUGAUCUUGGCUCACAGCAACCUCUGUCUCCCAGGUUCAAGUGAUUCUCUUGCCUCUGCGUCCCAAGUAGCUGGGAUUACAGGCAUGCGCCACUACGCCUGGCCAAUUUUGUAUUUUUAGCAGAGACAGGGUUUCUCCAUGUUGGUCAGGCUGGUCUCGAACUCCCAAUCUCAGGUGAUCUGCCUCCCUCAGCCUCCCAAAGUGCUGGGAUUACGGGUGUGAGCCACCGCCCUGGGCACUUACGUCUCUAUCUUUAGCUCUCUUCCUUCUCCCCAUCUUCUUUGCAAGACCCUUCGUUUACUCUAUGACGCCAUCUAAAUUGUCAUCUUCUUAUGUGCCUAUGGUCAAUUCAGCUAAACUCAACACGGAUUGAGUAUCAACCCCCGUGGCCAGCUGCCUAUGAGAUUGCUCUCGCUAUUUGUCCUGGUGAUGCUGUGGGCUGCAAAUGCUCAGUGCUUGAUAUCUUCCCUCCUAAAAUGGCCUCUCCUUCCCAUCAGUCUCCUGUCUGUUACCACUCAUCCUGCUUCCUGUCUUUGAAGUGAAAAAUCCUACCGUUUGAUUAUUUCCUAUUCCUCAGUUAUAAUGCCUAAUCUGUCAGGUUUCUGACUUCAACAGCCCUCUUUGGUAUAACCUUUCUUUCAUAUUUUUUCUUUGUUUCUUUCUUUUUUUUUUUGAGAUGGAGUCUCACUCUGCCACCCAGGCUGGAGUGCAAUGGUGUGAUCUCGGCCCACUGCAACCUAUGCCUCC